rnacentral:rRNA from 1 species
GAGUUUGAUCAUGGCUCAGAUUGAACGCUGGCGGCAUGCCUUACACAUGCAAGUCGAACGGCAGCACGGGAGCUUGCUCCUGGUGGCGAGUGGCGAACGGGUGAGUAAUGCAUCGGAACGUAUCCUGGAGUGGGGGAUAACGUAGCGAAGUUACGCUAAUACCGCAUAUUCUGUGAGCAGGAAAGCGGGGGACCUUCGGGCCUCGCGCUCUUGGAGCGGCCGAUGUCGGAUUAGCUAGUUGGUGAGGUAAAGGCUCACCAAGGCGACGAUCCGUAGCAGGUCUGAGAGGAUGAUCUGGCCACACUGGAACUGAGACACGGUCCAGACUCCUACGGAGGCAGGCAGUGGGGAAUUUUGGACAAUGGGGGCAACCCUGAUCCAGCCAUGCCGCGU